UUCACUAGUGAUUAGAGUUUGAUCCUGGCUCAGAGCGAACGCUGCGCGGCAGGCUUAACACAUGCAAGUCGAGCGGGCACUUCGGUGUCAGCGGCGGACGGGUGAGUAACGCGUGGGAACGUGCCUUCUGGUUCGGAAUAACUCAGGGAAACUUGAGCUAAUACCGGAUACGCCCUUAUGGGGAAAGGUUUACUGCCGGAAGAUCGGCCCGCGUCUGAUUAGCUAGUUGGUGGGGUAACGGCCUACCAAGGCGACGAUCAGUAGCUGGUCUGAGAGGAUGAUCAGCCACACUGGGACUGAGACACGGCCCAGACUCCUACGGGAGGCAGCAGUGGGGAAUAUUGGACAAUGGGGGCAACCCUGAUCCAGCCAUGCCGCGUGAGUGAUGAAGGCCUUAGGGUUGUAAAGCUCUUUUAUCCGGGACGAUAAUGACGGUACCGGAGGAAUAAGCCCCGGCUAACUUCGUGCCAGCAGCCGCGGUAAUACGAAGGGGGCUAGCGUUGCUCGGAAUCACUGGGCGUAAAGGGCGCGUAGGCGGUCUUUUAAGUCGGGGGUGAAAGCCUGUGGCUCAACCACAGAAUUGCCUUCGAUACUGGGAGACUUGAGUUCGGAAGAGGUUGGUGGAACUGCGAGUGUAGAGGUGAAAUUCGUAGAUAUUCGCAAGAACANCCGGUGGCGAAGG
rnacentral:rRNA from 1 species